UUCUUGGAUCUGCCUGGCAACAAAAACCAUGUCCGCAGUGCCCCAGGAUGGUCAGAAUCCGCACUGGGUUUCUGGAAGGAUCUCCUCAGUGAUGGGAUGAAGACAGUUCAGGAGGAUGCUGGCCAGAAUCUUACCUGCAAUGGACAGGAGGAAAAUCCCCCUGU